rnacentral:rRNA from 1 species
UACGUAGGGGCCAAGCGUUGUCCGGAUUUAUUGGGCGUAAAGAGCUCGUAGGCGGUUCGGCAAGUCAGCUGUGAAAUCUCCACGCUCAACGUGGAGGGGUCAGCUGAUACUGCUGUGACUUGAGUCCGGUAGGGGAGUGUGGAAUUCCCGGUGUAGCGGUGAAAUGCGCAGAUAUCGGGAGGAACACCAGUAGCAAAGGCAGUUCACUGGCAGUCAUCUGACGCUGAGGCGCGAAAGCGUGGGUAGCAAACAGG